rnacentral:tRNA from 1 species
GCUGUGGUAGCUCUGAGCACACCGCUGAUAACGGUGAGGUCGGUGGUUCGAGUCCACUCCACGGCA